ensembl:lncRNA
UUUCAGAGGACUGAGUCAUGGUUCCAUCUCCCAGCAGAAGAGGACAGGAGUCAGUUCCUGGGUCUGGGUAAGACACUAGUCCACCGUGCUUUGGAGGGUCAGUCUCAGCACUGUGCCAACCAUACGUACAGACACACUUUCAACAUGACAAGGCACUGGCAACUCCUACAACUAGAUGACAGAUGUUGCUCUUUGAAACUAGCUGUCUGUCUGUGUCUUGUCAUAAAACAACCGUUCUGUUAUGUUUUGUAACGUGGGUCUCGCAGAUGAAUUAUUAAUCACCAGCAAUGAUAGAGAUAACAUUGUAAAACAUGUCGUUGUUUUUAAUAUGUUGAUUAUUAUUAUUUUUUCAUUAGAAUUUCAGGACAGUCGUCUGUCACCUGCCCUUGCUCUGCUACCAGAGUAUGACUUCUCGGGAUACUCUCUCUUCCAACAAACAACAGACUUAGAGUUUGCCCCUUUAAGGUAACGCUUUCUUCAUUAGAAAAUAAAACUGUUUAUUAAAAUAAUAGUUUCAUUACUAUAAGGAACAACGGUCACUAUAUCAGCAUGAAUAGUUUUAGGUUAUUGAAAAGUAACCCGUGCUUGUGUUAUGCACGUCUCCUGUUUGUCUUGUCAGGGGGUCUCCAGACGUGUCUGUAGCCUCCGAGAGGUUUCUGAUACCACAGGCCAAGAAGGGCAGCAGUGGCGUUGUCCAGCCGUCUGUCCCUCAGCAUUCCUCUCUGUCCCAGCAUCCUCUGGCCUACAACUCCACCCUGUCUGAGCACCCUCUCGGUCACACCUCCACCCUGUCUCGGUCAGAGGAGAGGGCCAGUAGCUGCUGCUCGCUCUCCGAACACAGCAUGUCCCCUGGUGACGGGUUGGGACAACCAGGGGAGGACCGCUACCCAACCACCGUCAGUGAUAACGAGGGGCAGAAGACUCAUCGUUCUGGGACACGUACCAGUCUCCUUGACCCAGACAGACCUCUGGCCGUGCUCCCUGACGACAACGCUUCGUUCCUCAGCGGGGACAUCCCUGUCAGAAAGCUGCUGGAUCUGCUCCAGAAGGACGUUGGCAUGCCCAGCGGUAGCAGCAGUGCCGUCUCCUCUGCCUCUGAGACCUCUCUCAAGAGGACUAACUUCUUUGGGGGAGAAUCCAGGAGUGACAGCUGUGUUUCCAAACCAGAUGGCUUGAGAGAAGAGAGGGAUGUGAGCCAAAGAGCGCUGCCUGACGUCUCACCUGAGCUGCUGCCUGACGUCUCACCUGAGCUGCUGCCUGACGUCUCACCUGAGCUGCUGCCUGACGUCUCACCGCCAGUCACAGGGAGAAGAGAAGGCCCUCAAGGAGGAGCCUCCGUCUCACCUGAGAAGACGGAGAAACUCAAAAGUAAACAGUCUUCACGGAUGUCUGAAAUUUCCAACAUCACCAUCCGUUCCCUGAGCAGCCAGCCGGAUGAAAGCAGUAAUGCGUCCCGCAGGCAGCUCUGCUCGGAGCUAGAGAGGAGUCUGGACUCUGAGCCUGGAGCAGAGACCCAGGGAGGUACCAGCCGUGGGCCCAUACCCUCCUUACACAGUGAAGUCAACACACCUGACAUUGUCACCAAUACACCUAAUGUUUCAACCACUGGAUCCGCCAAAGGGAGGUUGAGCGUGACCAGAGGGCUACGGGCCAGUGUGUUAGGGCCAGGGGCUGGGGUCGGGCCCCAGUUUUCAGCAGGGUUCAGUGUGGAGCGAGGCCAUAGGGAGAGAGACCUCUGGUCCUCAGGCAACCAGACAGGCACAGAACCAGACGUCUCGUUCCUGAGCCUUCUGCCCCAGCCCGUGUCCCAGUCCACCCCAGGUGUGUUCCUCCACGCUCCAGUCAGAUCCAGCACUAAGCUGUCUGCCCUCACCUUUAACAUGGAGGUCUCUCAGCGCUCCUCAGGCUCCAGAGUCUCGCCCCAGCCUGCUGUAGACACCCUGCCUGAUAGAGCCACCCCUGUCCGGGACCCCCCUCUGCCUGCCAGAGAGACAGUACAGGAGCCCUCGGGAAGAAGCCACCAUUCUCUCCCCAGUCUUAACUACCUACAGAAGGUUGAUGCCUGGAAGGCCAACCAAAGUUCAAACAAGAUGUCGUUCUAUGACAACUUGUCUCUUCAGGGCUUCUCCGGGGUCUCUCCCAAGCAGAAGGCCUACGAUGCAGUCUCUGACUCUCUGACCCGUAUGUUGACUCAACCACGGCUGGGCAACCAGACCCUCAGCAUGUGUGAAUCUGGACCCUCCUCCCCUAGCAGAGGGGAGGCAGCAGGUAGUGGUCUUCCUGAGAGAGAGGACACAGCGGGGCCUGUAGGAGGGCCAUCCCCCAUGGGCAGGUCUCAGUCCCACUCCUCCCUCAACACAGUGGUCACGUCUAUCCAGAGAGCUCAGCAUGCACAGACACACACUGACCAGGACAGCAGCCAGACACAGCCAGAGGAGGAGAGUGCUACAGGGCAGCCCAGGGAGUUGGAGAGGAGCCGGGGAGGGUCAGGGUCAGACAGGGUUCAGUCAGGAGGUGGACCUGAACAGCCCAGUGGUGCUCCAACCGAGCCCUCUCCCUUCAUCAGCCUGGGACGCUUCAAUAACGUGUCAUCAAAGCGAGACGUCCUCUCCAGCUCCCGGGACAGUGACCACAGCGGGCAGAACUUUGAGGUGCCCAUCAGGGCUGCUUCUUCUUCUGUGGUCAGUCUGGAGGUGGAUAACUAUGCCCCGUACUGGACCUCCAAACCAUCCUCACCACACAGGGAGAGGGAGCUCAACAUUGACGAAAGGAUUCCGAUGUACCUUCACAACCUUGGGAUCGACCAAUCUCCUUCUACGAUCCUCAAUCCCUUUGGACCUCGAGGGCCAAUCAGAGAGCCAGAGUUCUCUCCCACUGAUCUGUGCACCAUAAAGGGAUCCACAGCCACUGGCACGCCAACCAAGAGCACACAGCCUUCUGAAGGCGACAGCCCUCAUAAAGGAGAGUUCUCCAGGUCCAGCCUGCUGUCUGUGGCCUCAAGCAUGUCUCUACCUCUCAGUGUGGACAGCCUCCAUCUCCAUCCCAUAAGGAGCCAGGCAGAGAACACCAGGAGCUGCCUGUCCCCCUCUCCGGGACCAGACAGAGACAGGUCUCCCAGCCAGGGCAGUCUGAGGAUGGCCCUCUGCCCCCUGGAUAUCUCAGUGGAUAACACAGUGCUCCAGGACUCCCAGCAGGAUCCUCGCUGCCUCCAAGCAUCCUCCCCUGCACCACAGUCCACCCAGCCCCUUGACCUCCACAUCUACCAGCUCCCUGCACCAGAGUCCAAAAAUAAAAAGUACCCUGGCUUGCUUCCGGACCUACAGUCCACUGAGCAACAUCAGAGAGACAGCAGAGUGAAUGUCUCUACCCAGGCUGCUAUAGAGCUGGCAGGGGGGCUUGAGUCCAGUGCUGACAGCUUAUCUCAGUACAGAGACAGGGUCAAAAACAGCUUAUCUCACUACAAAGAUGAAGACAGAGACAGUUUAUACAGGAACAGAGACAUGGACAGAGACGUCUUGUCUCAGUACAGAGACAGUGCAGUAGCGUCCUGUCCCCAGGUUAACACCACCAUUGAUCGUAGUAAUCCUGAUGAUUCCUUCGUAGGCUCCCAGACUCUGCAGGACAUUAGGCUUCUGCUGGGCCGGGCUGAAAACAUUGUGUCUGGUGGGUCCUCCUCCUCUAGCGCCUCCUCCCACCUCCUCCACUCUGACGACGACAUCCUGCUCCUCUCUCUCAGGAGGAAGAUGGAGGUAUUCCAGGACUCCUCCUUCACCUCCUCCUCUGGUGGGGCCGGGGUGGGGGACCCAAGGAGUCACUCCUCCUUGCUUUGGGCCCGCUCCUCCUCUGACUCCAUGCUGCCGGCAGUUAGGAAGAGGGAUAAGGAGAGGGAGAGCUCUGCCUACAACGGGGAAGGUCAUGUCAGGCUAACCAGAGAAGCAGAGCAUCAGUCCACACCCGCCAGAGAGGAGUCUGCGAGACUACUACAGGACAGAGAGCAUCAUGGAAGACCAAGGGACAGUUCUGAAGACGGAGAGCAUCAUGGAAGACCAGGUGACAGUUCUGAAGACAGAGAGCAUCAUGGGAGAUCACAUGACAGUUCUGAAGACCAAGAGCAUCAUGGGAGAUCACAUGACAGUUCUGAAGACAGAGAGCAUUAUGGGAGACCACCACAGGACAGUUCUGAGCACAGAGAGCAUUAUGGGAGACCACCACAGGACAGUUCUGAGCACAGAGAGCAUUAUGGGAGACCACCACAGGACAUCUCUGGCAGUAGCUCUACUUUCCUCCUGACCAAAUCUGUGCGGAGGGCGGAGCCUGAGGGCUGCAGUGCUGGCCUCUCGGACACGCGGAUUGGCCCUGUGCUGUUGUCAGUUAUGCCGGUCAGCCAACCUGGUCCCUCAUUGGGUGAUGCUGGCGUUGGCAAGCUGCAGCAGGCUCCAACAACAACAGUGGGAGGAGGAGACCCAGAAGUGCAGAUGGCUCCAGAAGAGGGAAGCUCUUCGUCCUCUUCGUCCUCCUGUCCCGUGGGCUCUGAGCAGGGGUGUGGAGGUCUGUCUGAGCCGGCCCACGGUGGGGAUCAGGGUGGAGAUGCUCUGAGUGAUGGUGGCAGCAGCAGCAGUUCUCUAGCAGCCAGGGUAGCCAGGCUGCUCCAGAAUGAGUCCCCAGCCACGGUGGCGUCCCUGUCCAGCCGAGCCAGUACCGCCACAGCAGACCUGGAGGAAAGCAGAGCCAGAGAGUGGCUGAGGCUGAAGGUGUCGGGGCAGCACUGUGAAACUCUGGAGCUCAACACGGAGGAUAGACAACGCAUAGAGGAGAUCAAGAGAGAGAUACUCUUUAAACACCCACUACAGAACCCGAGGAGCACGGACACGGACAGCAGUACUGCGUCCAGCCUUGUAGGUCCAGGGGGCCAGCCUCCCUCCCUACCCCAGCCUGAGGAGCAGUUGGUUGGGGAGAAGAAGCAGUUCAGGGCCCUGAAGGCAGCAGAGGACUGUCUGUCCCACCAGCUACAGCAGCUGAGCAGGAACCCGUUUGACGACAGCGUUGAGCUGCGUACCCCUCUAAGGCAGGACCUAGAGGACCGGGUCAGACAGAUCGCCCUCCGAGAGGGGUUAUACGUCCUCCCUAGAACGCACCCUCCACCCCUCACCUCCAUCACCAUUGCCACCUCCCGCCGCUCCCCCCUCCCCGAGCCUCUACAGGUGUCCCAGUUCACCUUAGAAGGUGUCUCCCAACCCACAGUGCAGGGGUGGCUACCUCAGACACGGCCCCAGCAGCAGGGGAGGGAGAGCACCACCACCUCGACACACUGCUCCAUGUCCAGAGACACAUCCACCAUGACUGGAUCACAGGCCAACAGCAGCAGUCUGUACCCCAGAGACAGAAAGACACGCCUGGGCCAGGAGCCGGGACAGGAGCCGGGACAGGAGCCGGGACAGGAGCCGGGACAGGAGCAGGUAGAAUCCCAGCUGAAUCUAUCUUUACCGCUUACUGACUAA